GGUUACAAGCAUUGCUCAAAAGGUGAACCAUUAUAGACGUUUCGAUUGCUACCAAGUUGGCAGUUUUCCAAGCUUGCAGAUAGAAAACAGCGUCUUUCAUAAACAUGCACCUGCGCAAAUUAUGAUUGCUGUUUGUUUAAAUGACUAACUUUGUCCACAAAUAACCGAUAUUAAAAUAUCCAGCCAACCACGAGUAUGACUUAUACUUGAAUUUUCAUUAAUCAUGGAAGAAAAAAUUAGAUUUGAAAGCAGUGUGUCGGUUAAAGCGAUUCGUUGUGCCCCCCGCCAGGCAAGUUAAUGGAUGUUUUGAUUCGGGCUUUAUGUGUUUAGAAUGGCUUUCUUGCUGCAUAGGACGUGCCAACUAUAGCAAACAAUGCAUGGAAAAGAAAACUCAAAUUAAUUCAAAUCGGUCAGCUCAAUUAUCGCGUUUCAGCAAUUCAAUACUUAAGUGAACUCAUGCAAAACUUUGAAUAUGGAGGAAUGGAAAAACAACAAAAUGGGGAAUACUCUCACAUAAAGACAUCGUGAGUUUUGUUAUAGAAAAGAUUUGCUGGCAACGAAUUUGAAUUUCAAACAUGAUAAUAAUUCAGAGGUGAAGAAAUUUCAUUAGAAUAGCUCCUGAGAGUCGAGCCAAGGCGAUUGGUUUCCUUGGAAACCUUGCAUAGGCCGAGACGAAUAAUACACGGUAACGGACAGCGGAACAACGAGAAGGAGAAAACCCAGGUAACUAUAUUUACUCUACUUAAAAUAGAAAAACAAGGGGAAUUUCGUCGAUCUUAAAACCUUAAACCCAAACACCUGUUCAUAAUCACACAGUAACGGUGAGUAGAGCAAUUUUCUGAAAGCCUUCAUAGCGAUCAUUUUUUCACUCUAAUAUUAAAGACUUCCCCGUCAUUUCAGGAAAAAAUAGAGGGCUUCCUACGAGUGUUCGCAUUUGGAAUUCAUUUUCAUUUUCGGUGAAUGGAAACCUUGCGAUUUUGGCUAUUUUCACCAAACAAUGUUUUUUCAGAGGUAUCUAGCGAUUUCUCUUACAACGAAACAAUAACAUUGAUUGUACAUUGACGGCAGACAAGUGACUUCAGCAUUUUUAAAACAAGCAUUAAACUAUAUGAAAAAGAAAUUGUUUCACUUGCUUAUUUCUGGUUGCUUUGUUAUGAACAAAAAAAACUUAAAAGGAUUUAGGUUAUAUCUAGCCAUAGUCAUUACAUUUGAAAUGUUUUUUGUCAGCUUUUUUGUUGGCAGAAUAAAAAAGAAAAAAAGAAAAACAUUUCAAAAUAUGUACGUGGCAGCACCAAUGUACUAGGAUUGAUACAAAUAAAAUAUCUUUUUUCUUGAAAUUGCAAUCCUAAACUUUAGAAUCUUCCUAUAGAUGAUUUUUUUGUGAUGGAGAUAAAAGAAGUUUUCUUUACAGUUACCUUGAUAAGUUGUCAUCUUGUUUGGACAAAUCUUUUACUCUUUGAAGCCUCUGCAAAAACAAAAUAGAAAAAAAACAUUUUUUUAGCUCUUUUAACUGAGAUGUUGCUAUUUAUGACAUGGAAUUCUAAUACAUGUGUUUGUUUCAUGGAGGUAAAACAUUGAAGCCAUUUAUAAAAAUAUUAAAAAUAUUCUACUUUCAAUGCAGUACUGCACUAGUAUCUUUGAAUUCCAUGCAGCACUACAGCAACUUAACACCAGUGUUACCUCAGGCCAGUAGCCAGGAUUUUGAGCUGGGGGGAGGGGGGGGUACCAUUUUCUUUUAGGUAGCUCGUCCUAGCUCGCAGUGGUACGCAAUUUUCCUUUAUUAUAACGGACCUUCCAGUCGAGUGGGGCGUUUCUUCCAACCUGUGCCUAAUGAAUUUCUUACCUGUCUUAGUCCUUGGAUGUCACUGCCUGUGUGCGGUAACCCAUUGCCACUGAAAUUACAAAACAGUCUUAAAUCAUUCGGAAUGAUAGCAUUUUACUUUUCCACGAAAGACUUUACACACCCUCUAUUCAAACUUUUUAGUAGGAUUCACUGUCAGUAAUCAGCCCAGUAUCAAUGUUGUGUUGGUUUUGUUUUGAAUAUUUCGAAAUCUCAUAAUUCUAAAAAAAUAAAGCUGUUCUUAAAUUUAGGGUUUUCAUUUUAGGAUGAUUUGAGUUUUAGAGUGAUUUUAAUCACUCUAAUAAAUUAAUAUUUCCUUUUAAAGCUUGAGCUUCUCUUGCAACUUUCAUCUAUUACUUUAGGUGCUUGCUUAAUUUAUUGUGAGGGUGAGCACUUUUGCUGGGAUAAUUCAUUGCUCAUAACCAAGGCUUCCAUCUACAAUGACAAAUGCAGACUGAAUUAGAUCUUGAGAUGAGGAGCUUCUCACUUGCAAAAGGUUCCAUAGUCUAUGAAAACAUGCAUUAUACCAAUUCAGGGUCUUUAAUUACCUGUAAUCUUGCACUCGACUUUCUUGAGCUAAGGGUGUUACUAAGGGCAACAAGCUACUCUCUAUUUGCUCAUUGACUUCAUCCAACCUCAAGCCAAGUCUGUAUAACUGUACAAAAAAAGUCAUAAAUAAUAAGCUAAAAUGAACAACAAUAAGGCAAAAGGUUUAAGGUAAAUACUUUUGUCUAAGAAAGUUUGAUAAUAAAUGAAAAAGUAGGCAGGUGUAACAACCAAUGUAAAAUCUUCCUGUUUACAUUGUUCAAGUGUAACAAAUAGAAAUGAACCAAUUUUCCAUAAAAUUGAUUUAUUGUGCAGUUGGUGCUUUUUUGAAAUGUCAAGAUUUGAGUAAAAGGUACAGUCUGUUCAAAAACCUAUGAGUAUUUUUUUUCAAUCCAUUCUCAUUCCCCUCUUGAUGUUAGCACUUCAAACCACUAUUGUAUUUUUUAAAGAUCAAAGAUCAUUUAAUAAACCUGGAUAAUUGAGUUGGGAUAAUUAUUUAAAUUAUUCCACAUGGUUAUAACUGCUUUUGAGGUAGCAUGAAAAUCACUCUUGGCCAUGCAAGUGCCCCUUCAAUUUUUAGCUAUCAAAAUCUGCUAUAAUAAAAAUCAAGAUGCUCACAUGGUAGAAAAUCACCAGAUAGAGACAACAGAUAGAGGGAGGGGAGGACUCCCUAGACAAAUAACUCCAUUUGCAUUGUAGCCUGGUUUGGUAGCAUACUGUAGAUAAUUCGUCUGUCUGACUGAGGUUAUCAGAAAUAGUAAGCAUGUACAUAGUACACAUUCCCAAGACGACUUACCUGUCCCUCUAAACUGUCUUCAAGAAGAAACUCUCCAUUCAAACUGAAAAAAAAAGAUGUGUUCAAUAAGUGAUUGUCAUUUUUUAAUAUAGUUACUGGGAGCUAUGAAGAGCAUGGCUAAGGAGAGCAUGGCUCCACAAAUCUGCUAAGUUGUUCAUUUUUCUUUAAAAAGUACAAACACAAAAUAAAGUCGAUUUGCUCCUAGAUUCAUGAUCUGGCAUGCUUUUGAAAUCUGUGGAUCUAUUUUCUCAUAAAAUCUGUAAUCUAUGUAAUAUUAGACCCAAAAACACAGAUCCAUAAACUGCUAGCCCGCGUAGCAGUGCUAAAGGGGAGGGUAAAGGGUCCAUGGACGAGAGAGAAAAAUCGGAGCAAUUGGCUGCAGGGGACUAUUUCCUCUCAUCCAGGGACUCCUUCCCCCUCAACUUUAGCGCCCUAUGCAGGCUGCAAACUGCAAACAUAUGCAGCACCAAAAAGUGUGUUCAUGGUACGAAAAAGCAACAACUAAAUCUGAGAGUUGUGAGGCAUGCAA